GCAGCAUGCCGGGGCUCCCUAUGGAGGAUGCGUGCAUGAGCGUACUAGUGAUAAGGUGCCGAGGAUAGUAGUACUCACGGUUUAGUUGUCCCUUGGGGCCGGCAGUGCAGUGGAUGGAAAGACAGUACAAAAUCCUCCUGGGCACUCUCUGUU